UACGAAGGGGGCGAGCGUUUGUUCGGAUUUACUGGGCGUAAAGCGCGCGUAGGCGGCUUUGUAAGUUAGAGGUGAAAGCCCUGGGCUCAACCCGGGAAUUGCGCUUGAGACUGGUGUGCUCGAGUACGGGAGAGGAUAGUGGAAUUCCCAGUGUAGAGGUGAAAUUCGUAGAUAUUGGGAAGAACACCAGUGGCGAAGGCGGCUAUCUGGACCGAGACUGACGCUGAGGCGCGAAAGCGUGGGGAGCAAACAGG
rnacentral:rRNA from 1 species